rnacentral:rRNA from 1 species
GUGGGGAAUAUUGCGCAAUGGGCGAAAGCCUGACGCAGCCACGCCGCGUGAGCGAUGAAGGCCUUCGGGUCGUAAAGCUCUGUGGGGAGAGAAGAAUAAAGCGGGUGAAGAAUCCGCCUUGACGGUAUCUCCUUAGCAAGCACCGGCUAACUCCGUGCCAGCAGCCGCGGUAAUACGGAGGGUGCGAACGUUGCUCGGAAUCAUUGGGCGUAAAGCGCACGUAGGCGGCGAAGAAAGUUGGGUGUGAAAGCCCUGGGCUCAACCCAGGAAGUGCAUUCAAAACUACUUCGCUUGAAUCUCGGAGGGGGUCAGAGAAUUCCCGGUGUAGAGGUGAAAUUCGUAGAUAUCGGGAGGAAUACCAGUGGCGAAGGCGCUGACCUGGACGAAGAUUGACGCUGAGGUGCGAAAGCGUGGGGAGCAAACAGGAUUAGAAACCCGUGUAGUCC